GCUGGGUGUGGCGGGGUGCAUCUGUAGUCCCAGCUACUUGGGAGGCUGAGGCAGGAGAGGAAUUGCUUGAAUCCAGGAGGCAGAGGUUGCAGUGAGCUGAGAUUGCUCCAAUGCACUCCAGCCUGGCAACAGAGUGACACUCUGUUUCUUCUUUUUUUUUGAGACGGAGUUUUGCUGUUGUUACCCAGGCUGGAGUGCAAUGGCGCGAUCUGGGCUCACUGUAACCUCCGCCUCCUGGGUUCAGGCAAUUCUCCUGCCUCAG
ensembl:misc_RNA Metazoa_SRP Metazoan signal recognition particle RNA